CGUGCCCGGACGAGACGCUGCGUGGAUGCGAGUGAAACUAAAGCAAUGGCGCCUUGUUGUAUGAAAGUGAAACUGGAUCAAGUUGAUGUUACGUUCCAACGAAGGCUUGGCUCGCUUCGAAAUUCAGCAACUCGGGAGGGGGGUGGUGGGGUGUGGGGGAGGACUCGAAGCCAUUAAGAUGGAUUUACCAUACUGCAUGUAUUUUCCCGUGAGACACACAUCACAUCUCCAAUCAGCAGGCCUGCACGUGAACCUACAAGUCCAAUGCUAAAAGGAGCAGAUAUUCAUCCACACCAGAACCUCUCCACGCUGUCCAGAGAGAUCAGGCAGAAGAUGAAAAAGAAGAGGAGGAGGAUCGAGAGAGUGGGUGGAAGGAUGAAGAUGGAUGGAUUUGCAGAAAGCGGCUGAACCCGGAGCAGGUGAACACAGCUGUGGAUCUCCACGACGGGCCUCGCUGGCUGCCUUCCUCGCGGGAGCCCCCCGGCGGUUGCGUUCAGGGGUCCCGGCGAGCUGACAGGGGCCAGGCAGAGUGGGCAGGCGAGGGCCGGCCCAAGCCAAGAGAGAUGCAGGUGAGGUGGGCGAGCCGAGGCGCCCGUCGCCGCCGGCGAGGAGCCGCCGCGUAGUCAAAUCAAUACGAAGGCUAGCAGAGGUUGGCCAGAACCGCCUGCGGGCCCUUCGGAGCCCUGGGACCGACCACCAGUUCCCACCGACAUCUUUUUUUCCAGCUUCCACCAACAGUCCUGGUCCAGAGCCCUCACCCUUGCACCCGCCCCACACAUGGAUGUUUCGGUGUGAGCUUGGCCCGCAGGGAGUUUUUGCGGCUUGAUAAUCAUUUCGCCACUGAGAGGUGGGACACAAGGGUGUAAAAAGAAUAAUCGAAGACGUGGGAAAAAUAGUUUCUUCUUUAUUCCAUAAGGAUUCACUGGGGGGGGGGGGGGGGGGGGGGUGAACAGGACGCUCCAUCCAAGCCCAAUAUACCUUCAUCUCACGGGCGCACAUGAAAGGACAACUUCUUCUCCAAUCUGCUAUAUUUUUUUUAUUGCUUUAUAUUUCCUGAGCCGCACUAAGAGCAGUUGCUUCAGAGGAUAUGGGAGUGCAGUAUUGAUCAGAAGGUGGAGCGGAGGAAAAAAUGAGGGCUUUCACGGCUUCCUCUUUCUCUACGUGUGAAAGCAGAAGUCCACUACUCACUACUAAUGAAUGGCCGCUAAUGAGUCUACUUCUCCCUCCCUCAUAUAAUAAGACUUACUCUUUUUUUUUUUUUUUAUUUUUUUUAACCAUAACAAAUCCAAACGUGAAGACAAGUCAUGACGGCGCGCACGGGACUAAAAGCAUCAUUCCUGAAGAGAGCUCAACGCAGAGUUCCUACUUUUUGGCAUGACGCGUACUGCACAGGGAUGACGAGGGUGGGGUCCUCACAGUAUGCACAAUGCGAGACGAGAGAGGAACACAGACCACUUGGAGAUGAAGCCACCAUUUGUUGCCAUGAUGAUGAAAAGCUGGAGUCAAGCACAGGAAGGCCUGCACCAAAUAGCAUUUUUUUUUUUCAGGCAUGUCCAUGUUUAUAAGAUAUAUAUAUUUUUGGGGAGCAAGUGAGUUGGAGCUGCUUCCAAUAGGUAUGUUUAGGAACCUAUUGAAGACAUAGGCGCAUAGAUUUAACCAUAGGGUCAAAAUUAUUCUUUAAAAAAUGGAAAUACUGUCAUAUUUUUAGUACUGUAGAAUCUGCCAAAAAGUAAUGAUAUAUUUUUUCAUUAUUAUCUUAUAUCUUGUUAUUAAAGGUAUGUGUUGCCAAAUUGGCUUUCAUCUAAAUGUAAAGAAAAACUCAUAAAAUAAAAAAAGGAAAAUACAUGGUAUUCAUUUACUUCAUUGGACCACAUUUUGGCUUUGCUUUGAAAGAAAAUGUAUUAUAAUUUUGAAAUAAAUACAU